rnacentral:misc_RNA from 1 species
GAUGAAGAACGUAGUGAAAUGCGAUAAUUAAUGUGAAUUGCAGAAUUCAGUGAAUCAUCGAGUCUUUGAACGCACAUUGCGCCCCUUGGUAUUCCGAGGGGCAUGCCUGUUCGAGCGUCAUUACACCACUCAAGCUAUGCUUGGUAUUGGGUGUCGUCCUUAGUUGGGCGCGCCUUAAAGACCUCGGCGAGGCCUCCCCGGCUUUAGGCGUAGUAGAAUUUAUUCGAACGUCUGUCAAAGGAGAGGAACUCUGCCGACUGAAACCUUUAUUUUUACAGGUUGACCUCGGAUCAGGUAGGGAUACCCGCUGAACUUAAGCAUAUCAAUAAGCGGAGGA